GCUGCCAAGAUGGCACACAACAUGCCUACGGACA
rnacentral:tRNA from 1 species